GACGAACGCUGGCGGCGUGCUUAACACAUGCAAGUCGAACGGUGAAGCGCCUUCCUUUUUGGUGGGUGUGGAUGAGUGGCGAACGGGUGAGUAACACGUGAGUAACCUGCCCCCUUCUUCUGGAUAACCGCAUGAAAGUGUGGCUAAUACAGGAUAUUCUGGGUCUGUCGCAUGAUGGGUCUGGGAAAGAUAUUGUUUCGGUGGGGGAUGGGCUCGCGGCCUAUCAGCUUGUUGGUGGGGUGAUGGCCUACCGAGGCGGUGACGGGUAGCCGGCCUGAGAGGGUGGACGGUCACACUGGGACUGAGACACGGCCCAGACUCCUACGGGAGGCAGCAGUGGGGAAUAUUGCACAAUGGGCGCAAGCCUGAUGCAGCGACGCCGCGUGAGGGAUGGAGGCCUUCGGGUUGUGAACCUCUUUCGCCAGUGAAGCAGGCCUGCCUCGUUUGUGGGUGGGUUGACGGUAGCUGGAUAAGAAGCGCCGGCUAACUACGUG
rnacentral:rRNA from 1 species